AUGGAUAAUUUUAUUUUUUCUCAUGUCUUCCUAGCCCAGACAACCACCCUGGGCUCCACCACCACUGCUGCCACCACCACUGCUACCACAGCUGGCCUCGGGACCUCAGAGAACCAAAGGCAUUCGGGGUCUUGGCCCCUGAGUACGGAAGCUACAGUGGGGAUAGCAGGCGCUGUGCUUGUAAUAGCAAUUGUGGGACUGAUUUUGUGCCUCUGGUGGAAGAAGAGGAAAGGUCUGCAGACUAAAGCCAGAACCCCCGCCAGUCAGUCCAGGAGGUCACAGAGCCCCCCACAAGGAGAACCAGCCCCAGGUGGGUGUGAACUCUGUCCUGCCCAGCCUCUAACCCAUCGCCCACCCUCCUGUUCCCAUGCAGAGGAACAUUCCAGAACACGCAGGGGAAAUACGAGAGCACUGGGAACAAAGUGCAACAGACAAACCCCAAGCUGGACCAAAAUAAUGAUGGCAUCCUCUAUGCCUCCCUCACCCUCCACAACGUGCCCUCACCAGCCGCACCUCCAUGCCCUCCCGCCCACGGGGGCCCCCAGGAAGAGACCCUGUACUCUGCCCUGAAGACCUAAGGACUGGGACGAGUGAUGACCUCCUUAGGGUCAGCCAUGCACGGGGAUCUCACUUCCCCAUAAUCAGAGCCAAACAGAGACCACUCAGAAGCCAGCAGGUGCCGAAGGCCACCGAGGACCUGAGCACCUACCUGCUCCAAUUCCUCUUCGACUUCCCAGCCCUUGACCACACAAAUAAAAGUACCUGUAUGA
rnacentral:lncRNA from 1 species